GCUGGGCGUGGUGGUGGGCGCCUGUAGUCCCAGCUACUUGGAGGCUGAGGCAGGAGAAUUGUUUGAACCCAGGAGGCAGAGGUUGCAGUGAGCCAAGAUCGCACCACUGCACUCCAGCCUGGGCAACAGAGCGAGACUCUGUCUCAA
rnacentral:SRP_RNA from 1 species